AUGUGUUCAAAAUUGUAUCGAAAAACUGACGUUAACAUAUAUUACUCCAAAUUUUCCCAAAGGAAUCGUAAAGACUCCAUUAGGGAGCAUUCAUCUAAUACCUAUGUAUUCCAAUUCCCCCAAUAGGAUUAAUCACUAGACUCUUAUCUCUAUGAGCGAUUUACUCCAAUUAGAAACCGUUGAUCAAGAGCAGCUCUGAAUGAAAGUCGACGCUAAUAUAUAGGGUAUAAACUCUUUUUGGACACUUUCCGGGUUGGUUCUAUUAUCAAAUACGUCUUAACUGGACAAGUGCUGAAUCCGAAUUGUACUUCCGAUCGAUAAGGUUCAAGAGUAUUGACUUUGGCUAUAAACUUCUUUAAAAGCCAGCUUAUUCCAAUUGAAGAGGGGGGUUGCCUACUUUUGGAACUUUUAAUUUUUCACUCUCAAGACUUGAUUUAUAUUUU